AGCAGUGGGGAAUAUUGCGCAAUGGGGGAAACCCUGACGCAGCAACGCCGCGUGAGUGAUGAAGGCCUUCGGGUCGUAAAGCUCUGUCGGCAGGAACGAGGGUGUGUGUCUCUAAUAAAGGCAUGCAUUGACGGUACCUGCAAAGGAAGCACCGGCUAACUCUGUGCCAGCAGCCGCGGUAAGACAGAGGGUGCAAGCGUUGUUCGGAAUUAUUGGGCGUAAAGGGCGCGUAGGCGGCCCAUCAAGUCGGAUGUGAAAGCCCAGGGCUCAACCUUGGAAGUGCAUCCGAAACUGAUGAGCUAGAGUUCACGGAGAGGGUGGAGGAAUUCCCAGUGUAGAGGUGAAAUUCGUAGAUAUUGGGAGGAACACCGGUGGCGAAAGCGACCACCUGGACGGAAACUGACGCUGAG
rnacentral:rRNA from 1 species